rnacentral:rRNA from 1 species
CCUACGGGAGGCAGCAGUAGGGAAUAUUGCUCAAUGGGGGAAACCCUGAAGCAGCAACGCCGCGUGGAGGAUGAAGGUUUUCGGAUUGUAAACUCCUUUUGUUAGAGAAGAUAAUGACGGUAUCUAACGAAUAAGCACCGGCCAACUCCGUGCCAGCAGCCGCGGUAAUACGGAGGGUGCAAGCGUUACUCGGAAUAACUGGGCGUAAAGGGCGCGUAGGCGGGAUAGCAAGUCAGAUGUGAAAUCCUAUGGCUUAACCAUAGAACUGCAUUUGAAACUGUUAUUCUAGAGUAUGGGAGAGGUAGGUGGAAUUCUUGGUGUAGGGGUAAAAUCCGUAGAGAUCAAGAGGAAUACUCAUUGCGAAGGCGACCUGCUAGAACAUAACUGACGCUGAUGCGCGAAAGCGUGGGGAGCAAACAGGAUUAGAUACCCCUGUAGUC